UACGUGAGGGGGCAAGCGUUGUCCGGAAUCAUUGGGCGUAAAGAGCUUGUAGGCGGUUUGUCGCGUCUGCCGUGAAAAUCCGGGGCUCAACCCCGGACUUGCGGUGGGUACGGGCAGACUAGAGUGGUGGUAGGGGAGACUGGAAUUCCUGGUGUAGCGGUGAAAAUUGCGCAGAUAUCAAGGAGGAACACCGAUGGCGAAGGCAGGUCUCCUGGGCCACUGACUGACGCUGAGAAGCGAAAGCAUGGGGAGCGAAACAGG
rnacentral:rRNA from 1 species